AUUGAACGCUGGCGGCAUGCCUUACACAUGCAAGUCGAACGGCAGCACGGGGGCAACCCUGGUGGCGAGUGGCGAACGGGUGAGUAAUGCAUCGGAACGUACCGUGUAAUGGGGGAUAACGUAGCGAAAGUUACGCUAAUACCGCAUACGCCCUGAGGGGGAAAGCGGGGGAUCUUCGGACCUCGCGUUAUACGAGCGGCUGAUGCCGGAUUAGCUUGUUGGUGGGGUAAAGGCCUACCAAGGCGACGAUCUGUAGCGGGUCUGAGAGGAUGAUCCGCCACACUGGGACUGAGACACGGCCCAGACUCCUACGGGAGGCAGCAGUGGGGAAUAUUGGACAAUGGGCGGAAGCCGGAUCCAGCCAUGCCGCGUGUGUGAAGAAGGCCUUUUGGUUGUAAAGCACUUUAAGCGAGGAGGAGGCUACCUGGAUUAAUACUCUAGGAUAGUGGACGUUACUCGCAGAAUAAGCACCGGCUAACUACGUGCCAGCCGCCGCGGUAACAC
rnacentral:rRNA from 1 species